UUUUGGACUUUCUACCACAAAGGCCUCCUGCCACUGACGCACACUCAGUUUGCGAUCCAUCUUAAUCCCCAGAUGCUUCUCCGCAAUCUCAUUUCUCCAGGUGUUCCCAGCUCUGCGUUUGACUUCCCCUUCCCAGGACCAUCCCCGACUGAUUUCAGGUAACAUCUCCACUUUAUAAACACCAUUUUGAGCUCUGAUCCUGUACUUCAGAGUGCUCAUAAGCUCAUAUAUCUUGAUGGUGACCAAAUAACUGAGACCAGAGAAAUUUUGGAAAAGAAGAGUAUAUCUAGGUCAUAAUUUGAGGGCCUUUGUGUCAUCAGUGAAAUGCCAAUGAGACAUCCCUGUCCCCAUGCAGCAGGUGACUAUGGCACCUUCUCACACAGCCAGUUGUGCCGCCACACAGUACUCAUUUCAGGGCACAGGCAGAAACCCCCCCCAUUGUUCUGAUUUCAGAUGAACCCCAAAUCAAGGCGAAAUUCCUAGAAUGUGUAGUUAGCCCAAAUAGAAGCUCUCAUCCAAAUAAAAGGUGGCUUUUUAGGAAGGCCCUUUUCCCCAUUAAGCAAAAUUUGCAAAUAGUGUGUGUGAGGGGGAAUCCACGUAAGAGACAAAACUACAAGGAAAGCUGGUGACAGACUUAAAAGGAGAACGGGAUGUCAGGAGCCAUGGGACAUCGUCUGCAGCACCAAGCAACCCUCACAUAAGGGUCCAACUUUAACCCUGACCACCCAGGCUUUAAGAUCUCCGAAACGCACCGCGACCUAAGUACACGGCUCCAUCCCCAUUUCCUGACCUCAUACUGAGACGCUGUUUGAAAAGCCUGCUCUUCAAGGCUGUAUGUGAUUAAUUAUUCAUCAAACUAUGUUUGGACAUCCACGGUUCAAUCCCAGCCUCCAUGAUUAUACACAUCAGUAUCUUGAAUACAGAUAUUAAAGUCAGGCGCCGUUUCAACAGAGUUGGAUCAACACUCGAUCUUGAAACAGUAACUAUCUGCUAUAUAUAUCCUAAAGCAGUUACUUCUCUACUCAAAAGAUUUUAAACCGGAUGACUGCAAAAAGAAAAUAAUUAGAACCGAGAAGGAAGUAGCCGGUGAAGAGGACAGCCGUAUGCAGCAGCCGCGGCGGCGAAGGCAGCAGCCAGCGCCACAAGCAGCUCACCCUUCGGCCGACACCGCGCUCCGAGGGCUCUCCGGACGCCAGGCCCUGAGGGCCUGCGGAGCUCCUCUACAGACCCCGCCGGGCUUGUCAAAUGGGAUCUAGGCAUCCAUACAGCAGCUUCCAAGGAAUGUGAGAUGGAGGCAAGCAGGCUCAAUGACAUGAUCAGCACGGACCGGCUCCCUGCAGCGUUGCUGGCCCUGGGACGUUUCACUGCUCACACCGGUGCUGAGCCAGGCACAAGGCUGAGACCCACCAAAACAGCAUGUACAGG